GUGAAAUUUGAGGUUUCAUUGGUGUUCUUGAAAAAGAGGUCACACUCAAUCUACACGUAUCCACACAUCGGAUCUUUUUUGUACCUGGUACAAGCACCGUGUACAUAUACAGGUGAUUUUGCAGGUUAUCUGCCUGGCGAUCAGGAGCUAGGCCUCACUGUGAAGUUUUCAUCUGAGGACUGGUGGGUCCCUAUCGAGUUCGAGCACUGUGCCGAUUGUACGUGCGAGGAUUGUGCUGCAUGGCAGCUGUGACUCCUGAGUGAUUCUUUUUUAUUCUUUUGAUGUACUCCCUUUUGUUACUUGAUACUUAAAUUGUUGUAUUUUUGUAUAUAUAUUAUGU